UUAUUAUAAAUAAAAGAUAUUGUUCAUAAAAAUAUGAACAUGAAUCUUUCUUUUAUCUUGUCUAGCUUAGAAGAAGUAAUAAAAUGAUUAAGUGUCUUAGUUAAAAAAUUGUAAUAUAGAUCUGUCAUUAAUGUUAUUGCUUAUUUGCUAUGAAUUUUAUGUACUUAAGAUAGAAUUUUCAAUGUUAUCAAUUUCCAAGAAGUCAUUAAAUCCAUAUGUGAGUUUCCCAGCCAUUAAAUCCAUAUGUGUAACCUUCAUUGAUCAUGUACACUGGUGCAUACGAUAAGUUGUAUGAUAAUAAAGGUUGUGACCCACGCACGCACUUAUCUAUGCACACAGUAGGUAGAGAAGAUCACUGGAUUAAGAAGGAAGAGAUAAGAAUUAUUAUUAGGUUGCAUUAGGCUAAGUUCGAAUAACAUAUGUAGCUCUUAAGGACAAUAUUUUUUUUAAAUAAAAUUAGUACUCAACCAACAUCCAAGCCGGCAACAUCUUUUAUUAAUACGCGCGUAAACAGUGGUCCUUCGAAAGAGAAAAAAGAAUCAGUGACCGGAAAAGUGUGCACAUCAAAAAAAAAAAUCUAAUUUAAGAAAGAAUUCUAUUUGAAAAAAUAAUUGUGAAAGUCACAUUGAAAAGAAUAUUAUCCAAAAAAAAAAAGAAUAUAUAAUUUAAGAAUGAAUUCUAUUUGAAAAAAAUAAUUGUGAAAGUUACAGUGAAAAGAAUAUUAUACAAAAAAAACAGAGAAAAUAGUGAAGAAUUAAGAAACAAGGCUAUUAUCCAAUAGAAAAAAAAUAUUAUAGUGAAAAAAAAAUCAUAAAAUUAAAAAGCCAAAGAGGCUAAGAAAUUAGAAUAUAGCGGAAAAUUGGAAACAGAAGAGAUUUAAUCAAUAAAGGGUGUUACAUUGUGUACGUGAUGAAGCGAACCAUCCAAUAGCCCACAUAACAAGACUGCUCUAUCUCCAUAAUGGAUCUGCUGUUAAAAGUCAAACAAGUUGCGAAUCGGGAAUCCUUUAGACCCCAUAAAGUAUAUCCAACCAUGAUCAAAGUUGAUUCAAUGAUGUCUAGCUGUCUGUCUACCGAAGUCACAAUAUUGAGAUGGGACGGGACGUUUCAACAAGGCAUUAAAUUGUGCACGUGAUAAAGCCAUUCAAUAGCCUACAAAACUAGACUGCUCUAUCUCUAUAAUGGAUCUGCUGUUAAAAAUUAAACAAGCUGCAAAGCGUUAAUCCUUUAGGUAAGAUUAAUAGGUUUGUUAUGUUCCAUCUAUAAAAAUAAAAGUUUCUAUUGAUUUGAAAAAGUUUCACUUCGGUCGCAAAUGGUUUCACUUCAAAUGCAAAUAGUUUCAUUUCCACUGCAAAAUGUUUCAUUUCUAUUGCAAAAAAUUUCAUUUCAUUGAAAUUAAACUUUUUGCAACAGAUAUGAAUUCUUUUGCAGUGGAAAUGAAAAUAAAGCCUGUUUGAUUUCAAACUUAAUUUUCAUUGAAUUGCGUUAUUACAUAUUUGUAACACGGGUGAAUUUUCUCCUUUUUGGUAAUGUCUACUACCUCCUAAUACGACUUUGCACUUCGUACAUAAUGUCAAAGGUAAUGACAUUUCCUAAGGAGUGACGUCUUGUAAUAUUCUACCGACUCUACUAGUACUAACAUGCAUAGGAUUACGUCCUACAACCAAAAACCCUUUGAACAGUCCACUGCUCAGAGGGAAAAAAUAUUACUUGAUUGUGUUUUUAUUUUUUUCCAUUUCUUUUAUUUUCUUUUUGCUCCGCAAACAUUGGUCCUUCGAGCCGGAUUUGCGAUCUGUCUUCUUCCUUCACGAGGAAAAACAAUAGAGAAACGACUGUUUCACAACAAAACCUUGGAUUCUACGACCCGUCUCUUUGCUCACUGAGGAUACAACGACAACGUCGUCAACAACAACGGGAUUAUCGAUCACCACCAUCACAUCUAAUUAAUUAUUUUACAUUUUAAUUAGCCGCGACAACAGAGGAUUUUGCGAUCUGUCUUCUUCCUUCACGAGGAAAACCAAUAGAGAAACGACUGUUUCACAACAAAGCUUUGGAUUCUACGACACGUCUCUUUGCUCACUGAGGAUACAACGACAACGUCGUCAACAACAACGGGAUUAUCGAUCACCACCAUCACAUCUAAUUAAUUAUUUUACAUUUUAAUUAGCCGCGACAACAGAGGCAUGUAUACUGUGUAUUACGUUUAAAGUGACAUACAAAACAUAGUUAUUGUUGUGUUAAUUAAACAAAACAAAGCCUUGGGUCGUUUUCAACAAGUUUUUUUGUCCGUCCGUCUCCUAUGUAAACCUUUUGCAAAUCAAAUGAAACAAUUUUAUUUAUAAAAAGACACAUAACAAUACAUUUCUAUUUUAGUAGGUAUUAAAUUAAAUCAACUAAUCAUUAAUAAUAUAUAGUUAAAGAGGAAUUGUUAUAGAUUAUUAACAUCCAUAUUUUCGUAAUAUUCUUUCUUAAAUUUUCAAUUAAUGUAAUAGUAAAUUGCUCUUUAUUGAUUUGAUAUAAAAUAUUUCUAUAUUAAUAUGCCAAAUAUUUAACACCAAAAAGUGAAAUUGGAACAAAUUUUGGCAUUUAUUAAUAUAAAUUGUGGGAGCAGGACUGAAGUACGAAAUGAAGAUUUACUAUAAUGUUCAAUAGUUAAAGUACCAAUGGGGCAUAUUUAAUGUGUCAUUUCGUGUGUAACACCUCUAAGUAUUCGUCGUAGACCCCUUAAAGUAUAUCCAACCAUGAUCAAAGUUGAUUCAAUGAUGUCACAAUAUUGAGAUGGGACGGGACGUUUCAACAAGGCAUUAAAUUGUGCACGUGAUAAAGCCAUUCAAUAGCCUACAAAACUAGACUGCUCUAUCUCUAUAAUGGAUCUGCUGUUAAAAAUUAAACAAGCUGCAAAGCGUUAAUCCUUUAGGUAAGAUUAAUAGUUUUGUUAUGUUCCAUCUAUAAAAAUAAAAGUUUCAUUUGAUUUGAAGAAGUUUCACUUCGGUCGCAAAAGGUUUCACUUCAAAUGCAAAUAGUUUCAUUUCCACUGCAAAAUGUUUCAUUUCAAUUGCAAAAAUUUUCAUUUCAUUGAAAUAAAAACUUUUUGCAACAGAAAUGAAUUCUUUUGCAGUGGAAAUGAAAAUAAAGCCUGUUUAAUUUCAAACUUAAUUUUCAUUGAAUUGCGUUAUUACAUAUUUGUCACACGGGUGAAUUUUUUCCUCCUUAGGUAAUGUCUACUACCUCUUAAUACGACUUUGUACUUCGUACAUAAUGUCACAGGUAAUGACAUUUCCUAAGGAUUGACGUCUUGUGAUUAUCGCCAUUACAGUAUUCUACCGACUGUACAAGUACUAACAUACAUAGGAUUACGUCCUACUUCCAAAAACCCUUUGAACAGUCCACUGCUCAGAGGGAAAAAAUAUUACUUGAUUGUGUUUUUAUUUUUUUCCAUUUCUUUUAUUUUCUUUUUGCUCCGCAAACAUUGGUCCUUCGAGCCGGAUUUGCGAUCUGUCUUCUUCCUUCACGAGGAAACACAAUAGAGAAACGACUGUUUCACAGCAAAACUUUGGAUUCUACGAUCCGUCUCUUUGCUCACUGAGGAUACAACGACUACGUCGUCAACAACAACGGGAUUAUCGAUCACCACCAUCACAUCUAAUUAAUUAUUUUACAUUUUAAUUAGCCGCCACAACAGAGGAUUUUGCUAUCUGUCUUCUUCCUUCACGAGGAAAAACAAUAGAGAAACGACUGUUUCACAACAAAACUUUGGAUUCUACGACCCGUCUCUUUGCUCACUGAGGAUACAACGACAACGUCGUCAACAUCAACGGGAUUAUCGAUCACCACCAUCACAUCUAAUUAUUUAUUUUACAUUUUAAUUAGCCGCGACAACAGAGGAUUUUGCGAUCUGUCUUCUUCCUUCACGAGGAAAAACAAUAGAGAAACGACUGUUUCACAACAAAACUUUGGAUUCUACGACACGUCUCUUUGCUCACUGAGAAUACAACGACAACGUCGUCAACAACAACGGGAUUAUCGAUCGCCACCAUCACAUCUAAUUAAUUAUUUUACAUUUUAAUUAGCCGCGACAACAGAGAUGAACGACUGUUUCACAGCAAAACUUUGGAUUCUACGAUCCGUCUCUUUGCUCACUGAGGAUACAACGACAACGUCGUCAACAACAACGGGAUUAUCGAUCACCACCAUCACAUCUAAUUAAUUAUUUUACAUUUUAAUUAGCCGCCACAACAGAGGUAUGUAUACUGUGAAUUACGUUUAAAGUGACAUACAAAACAUAGUUAUUGUUGUGUUAAUAAAACAAAACAAAGCCUUGGGUCGUUUUCAACAAGUGUUUAUUCCGUCCGUCUCCUAUGGGAUUGCCGUCGGCAUUUAUCGCAACAACAAAAUAGUGUCAAAGUGAUUUUUGUUUCCAACAAAAUACACUCACGACCACAAUCACAGAAUUGCAUACUUUCUCAUUGCCUAUUUAUAUUUUCUCGUUGCGCUUUUUGUGUUUUACAUCUUCAUGUAAGUAGUAAAACAUAAUAACAAUAACAGAAAAGAAUAUUUGUUGUCAUCGCCGCUGAUUGUUGGUUCCGCUUUGUAUACAUAUUCGUGUAAAUUACAAUAGUGACACUCACUGUUAAAUGAUAGACAAUCACAUACAAUAGGUGUGUUCACGACCAUUUAUCAAAAUUUUAUUUAUUGAAAAAUUGAAAGUGCCAACUUCAAUUAAAUUUUUUGUUGUUUCUAUUGGAUAUCAACUACUGUUAAUGAAUUUCGCAGUCUCCGACGUUAUCACCCUACAUUCGGUAUACACAUACAUAUAUGUGCGUGGUAAUAUUUUAUUAAAUAACGUUUAAUACUAAUAUUGCUAUUUAUUUCUGCGAACUCUUUCUAGAAAACUGUUUUGUUUCUUGUUUCUUGUUUUACGCUGAACGACUUACGAUUUGUGCACCCUACAAUCGGCUUUAUUGAUUUAUCAUAUUUUUGGGUUUUUCGACUCUAUUACAAUUGUUGUUUGAAAAAUUUUGUCGGCAAGUGUUACUUACGAUACAUUGUACAUAACUUUCAGAAAGUUUGAACAAUUUCUUCAUUUAUAUUUUUUUCUUGUGGUUUAAUCACGUUUAAUCUCAACUGACACUGCGAGGAGUCCAUGACUAUCUGCAAUCAGUGUAUUUUCAUUAAAUAAACAUUGAUUUCAUUGACAUUACGUGUCUUAUUAAAAAUAUUUCAAGCAUUUUCGUGCAAAUUUCAUUACAAUUUCACUAAUUUCUUAUUUCAUUUUCGGGGCAGUUCUAAAUUCUUCGACUGCAUUUGUUUUCCAAACAAGGCAUUACGUGUCAUAAAAAACAUUAUUAACUUGUUUUGCUUCCGAUUUGCAUUUAAAAUGCCACUCACUCCUUUGGAUUUAUUCAUCCGAGCUACUAAAAAUGUUCUAGCGUCCAUUAAUAGAAAGUUAGGUGUGCUACGGGCUCCGCCUAAGUCACGAACUGUAAUUUCACCAAAAUCUCAUAUAGGUAACACUUCAAUACCUCGUUCCGAGGAGAGAGCGACAGAAUCGAAUGUUCCGCAGCGAUCCGAAACUUCUGUAAAACUUUAUAGUAAUGCUUAAAUUUACAUUUCAGUCCUGCCCAUACAAUUUAGUAAUAAAGGCCAACAUUUGUUUCAAUUUCUCUUUUUAACGUUAAGUAUUAAGAAUAUAUAAUAUGGAAAUAUUUUAUAUCAAAUCAAUAAAGGGCAAUUUGUAAUUACAAUAAUUGAAAAUUUCAGAAAUAAUAAAAACUAUAGAUUUUUAUUAUCAAUAAAAAUUCCUCAUUAACUCUAUAUUAGUUAUAAUUACUUGAUUUAAUCUAGAACCUACUAAAAAUAAAAAAGGUUUGUUAUAUUUCUUUCUAUAAAUCUAAAAGUUUCAUUUGAUUUGCAAAAAGUUUCAUUUCGGUUACAAACGGUUUCACAUAAAAUGCAAAAGGUUUCAUUUCCGUUGCAAAAGGUAAUGAAACCUUUUGCAAAUCAAAUGAAACAAUUAUAUUUAUAGAAAGAAACAUAACAAUACAUUUCUAUUUUUAGUAGGUAUUAAAUUAAAUCAACUAAUCAUUAAUAAUAUAUAGUUAAAGAGGAAUUGUUAUAGAUUAUUAACAUCUAUAUUUUCGUAAUAUUAUUUCUUAAAUUUUCAAUUAAUGUAAUAGUAAAUUGCUCUUUAUUGAUUUGAUAUAAAAUAUUUCUAUAUUAAUAUGCCAAAUACUUAACACCAAAAAGUGAAAUUGAAAAAAAUUUUGGCCUUUAUUACUAUAAAUUGUGUGAGCAGGACUGAAGUACGAAAUGAAGAUUUACUAUAAUGUUCAAUAGUUAAAGUACCACCCUGGAAAGGGGGCAUUUCGUAUGUAACACCUCUAAGUAUUCGUCGUAGACCCCAUAAAGUAUAUCCAACCAUGAUCAAAGUUGAUUCAAUGAUGUCUAGCUGUCUGUCUAUUGAAGUCACAAUAUUGAGAUGGGACGGGACGUUUCAACAAGGCAUUAAAUUGUGCACGUGAUAAAGCCAUUCAAUAGCCUACAAAACUAGACUGCUCUAUCUCUAUAAUGGAUCUGCUGUUAAAAAUUAAACAAGCUGCAAAGCGUUAAUCCUUUAGGUAAGAUUAAUAGGUUUGUUAUGUUCCAUCUAUAAAAAUAAAAGUUUCUAUUGAUUUACAAAAGUUUCACUUCGGUCGCAAAUGGUUUCACUUCAAAUGCAAAUAGUUUCAUUUCCACUGCAAAAUGUUUCAUUUCAAUUGCAAAAAUUUUCAUUUCAUUGAAAUGAAACUAUUUGCAACAGAUAUGAAUUCUUUUGCAGUGGAAAUGAAAAUAAAGCCUGUUUGAUUUCAAACUUAAUUUUCAUUGAAUUGCGUUAUUACAUAUUUGUAACACGGGUGAAUUUUCUCCUUUUUGGUAAUGUCUACUACCUCCUAAUACGACUUUGUACUUCGUACAUAAUGUCAAAGGUAAUGACAUUUCCUAAGGUGUGACGUCUUGUAAUAUUCUACCGACUCUACUAGUACUAACAUGCAUAGGAUUACGUCCUACUACCAAAAACCCUUUGAACAGUCCACUGCUCAGAGGGAAAAAAUAUUACAUGAUUGUGUUUUUAUUUUUUUCCAUUUCUUUUAUUUUCUUUUUGCUCCGCAAACAUUGGUCCUUCGAGCCGGAUUUGCGAUCUGUCUUCUUCCUUCACGAGGAAAAACAAUAGAGAAACGACUGUUUCACAGCAAAACUUUGGAUUCUACGAUCCGUCUCUUUGCUCACUGAGGAUACAACGACUACGUCGUCAACAACAACGGGAUUAUCGAUCACCACCAUCACAUCUAAUUAAUUAUUUUACAUUUUAAUUAGCCGCCACAACAGAGCCGGAUUUUGCGAUCUGCCUUCUUCCUUCACGAGGAAAAACAAUAGAUAAACGACUGUUUCACAGCAAAACUUUGGAUUCUACGAUCCGUCUCUUUGCUCACUGAGGAUACAACGACAACGUCGUCAACAACAACGGGAUUAUCGAUCACCACCAUCACAUCGAAUUAAUUAUUUUACAUUUUAAUUAGCCGCCACAACAGAGAAAUAUGGUUUGCCCAAGUCGAGGCUCAAUUUGGCAUUGCUAUCAUAAACAGCGAAUUGUCCAAAUUCAACACAGUCGUUGCAGCUGUUGAAAGUGGAGAUUAAAGAGCACGGACGGACGGUCCGCAAGUAAGCCUACUAGUGAUUUCCCACAACAGUGUUGGUAUAAUAGGAUAUUUGGUAACGACGCUCAAAAAUGUCGGCCCCGUGUUCUUAUACAACAAAACAUUCAUAAAACUAAUUAAUUUUUGCAAAUCGCUCACCUCGUCAUUUGUGACCACAAUACCAGCAUCAUGUUUCUAAUAGACACCGGCGCAGACGUGUCAGUAAUUCUACCCUCUUCAGCCGACAAGGGCAAAAAACACCUGUCUACGAACUUCUAUUCUGCAAACGUAUAGCGUAUGUCACUUGGUUUGCGCAGGAGUUUCGUGUGGAAUUUUUAUCUUGCCGAAAUCAAAAUCCUUCAAGCAGUUCUUGAGUUAUAAGUGUAGUAACUAACAAAAAAUAUGGUAAAAAAUUUAUUUAUUUUGUAUAUUCUUAGUAUAGUUCGACUUACCACAUAAAUAAAUAUAAUCUAUAAAUAACAGUUUUGUCCUUUGUCGCUUUAUACCACAAAACAAAAAAAAUCACAUCAUAUUAGCAUUCAAAAAAACACUACGAAUAUACAUUUGAAAAUAGUAAGUCAAAAUGAACAAAAAUUAUACAAAAUAAAACAUUACUAUUGUACAUUUCAAAACUCAAAAUGCAAAACUUAGAAUCUUUCAUUUUUAAGCGAUGAAAUGUGACAUUAAGCAUUGCUAUAAAGUCUUAGAGUUAUACAUAUUAUUAAUCUCACCUAAAGGAUUCCCGAUUCGCAACUUGUUUGAUAUCCAUUUAGAUCCAUUAUGGAGAUAGAGCAGUCUUGUUAUGUGGGCUAAUGGAUGGGUCGCUUUAUCACGUACGCAAUGUAACACCCUGUUGAAACAUCCCGUUAUCAUUUUCAAUACCAAACAUCCUAGACACAAUGCAAUAUUGUGCCAAAUUUCAAAUCUCUACAUCAAAUUUCAUAUCAAUAUCGUAAAUACAACAGGCAGACAGCUGGACACCAUUAAAUCAACUUAGAUCAUGAUUGUAUAUACCUUUUGGGAUCUAUUAUGAAUAUUUAGAAGUGUUAAAAUGGAAUGACAAAUUUAAUAUACCCGCCUUUCCAUGGAGGAGGUUAUAAAAAGGUAUUAAAUUCGGGUCUUUUGGAGAAAAAAACCUUGCAAAAACGUUCUUAUAAUUUUUCCGAAUCUUAACUUGCGUUUUAUGGCAUCGUGUGAUACACUGCAAAUUUAGGAAAAAUUAUUAUAAAAGAUAUAGAUGUUAGUAAUCAAUUAAAAUUCCUCUUUAACUAUAGCAUUUUCAGAUUAAAUGAAACCUUUUGCAGUGGAAAUGAACCAUUUUACAGGGGAUUUGAAACUUCUUGCAACAAAAGUGAAACUUUUUGCAAUUAUAUGAUUGAUUUCCACUGCAAGAAGUUUCAUUUCCACUGCAAAAGGAUUCAUUUCCGCUGCAAAAAGUUUAAUUUGAAUUGCAAAAGGUUUCAUUUAAUCUGAAAUGUUUCAUUUGAUUUGCAAAAAGUUUCAUUUUGGUUGCAAGAGGUUUCAUUUCCCCUGCAAAAUGGUUCAUUUCCACUGCAAAAAGUUUCAUUUCCACUGCAAAAGGUUUCAUUUAAUCUGAAAAUGCUAUAGUUAAAGAGGAAUUUUAAUUGAUUACUAACAUCUAUAUCUUUUAUAAUAAUUUUUCCUAAAUUUGCAGUGUAUCACACGAUGUCAUAAAACGCAAGUGUAGAUUCGGAAAAAUUAUAAGAACGUUUUUGCAAGGUUUUUUCUCCAAAAGACCCGAAUUUAAUACCUUUUUAUAACCUCCUCCAUGGAAAGGCGGGUAUAUUAAAUUUGUCAUUCCAUUUGUAACACCUCUAAAUAUUCAUCAUAGAUCCCAAAAGGUAUAUACAAUCAUGAUCUAAGUUGAUUUAAUGGUGUCCAGCUGUCUGCCUGUUGUAUUUACGAUAUUGAUAUGAAAUUUGAUGAAGAGAUUUGAAAUUUGGCACAAUAUUGUAUUGUGUCUAGGAUGUUUGGUAUUGAAAAUGAUACCGGGAUGUUUUAACAGGGUGUUACAUUGUGUACGUGAUAAAGCGAACCAUCCAUUAGCCCACAUAACAAGACUGCUCUAUCUCCAUAAUGGAUCUAGAUGGAUAUCAAACAAGUUGCGAAUCGGGAAUCCUUUAGUCCUGCCCAUACAAUCUAUAUAUGUAAAGGAAAGUUGUGUUAGUUACUACGCUUAUAUCCAAGAACAGCAGGUCUGAUUUUAACGAAUUGUCUCUUGAAAAUCGCUUAAAAAUGAAAGAUUCUAAGUUUUGCAUUUUGACUUUUGAAAUGUACAAUAGUAAUGUUUUAUUUUGUAUAAUUUUUGUUCAUUUUGACUUACUAUUUUCAAAUGUAUAUUCGUAGUGUUUUUUGUGAAUGCUAAUAUGAUGUGUAUUUUUUUGUGGUAUAAAGCGACAAAGACAAAACUGUUAUUUAUAGAUUUUAUUUAUUUAUGUGGUAAGUCGAACUAUACUAAGAAUAUGCAAAAUAAAUAUUUUUUUUACCAUAUUUUUUGUUAGUUACUA